AAGUCGUAACAAGGUUUCCGUAGGUGAACCUGCGGAAGGAUCAUUAGUGAAUGAGACUCACGUCUCAGACACCAGUCACUUUGGCUGUGCGCCUCCGGGCUGCACGCCGACUUGACGCAUCUCAACACACCUGUGCACCUUUCAGAUGUUGGGGCUGAAAAGCCCUGAUGUUUGCCCUUUACAUAAAAUACAGUCUAUGAAUGUCAUACAUUUUAAAUAAUACAACUUUCAACAACGGAUCUCUUGGCUCUC
rnacentral:misc_RNA from 1 species